rnacentral:rRNA from 1 species
UCGACCCCUUUCACCCUACUGAGAACUUCUAUAAUAUUAUAGAACCUUUAAUGUUAAAACUAGUAACAAGAGAUACACCCUCUCUAUAAUGCAAACUCAAGCCAGCAAGAACCCAUCACUGGCAAUUAACAUAAACAAAGUAGUAACUUCCCCCGGAAAACUCUACCCCCCCCCCCGUUAACCUUACACAAGAGCAUUUCAAGAAAGAUUUAAAGAAAAAGAAGGAACUCGGCAAAUAUUAAUCUCGCCUGUUUACCAAAAACAUCGCCUCUUGUCACCUAUAAGAGGUCCAGCCUGCCCAGUGACUCUUGUUCAACGGCCGCGGUAUCCUAACCGUGCGAAGGUAGCGUAAUCACUUGUCUUUUAAAUAAAGACUAGUAUGAAAGGCACCACGAGGAUUAAACUGUCUCCUCUCUCCAAUCAGUGAACCUAAUCUCCCCGUGAAAAAGCGGGAAUUUUUAUAUAAGACGAGAAGACCCUAUGGAGCUUAAAACAUUAUAACACUGCACCCCUUUUUUUUAAUCCAGAUAUUAACCCCCCCCCCCACGGCACACUGAUUAUAUGUUUUCGGUUGGGGUGACCGCGGAGGAAAACCCAUCCCCCGCGAUGACAGGGAAGACCCCAGACAAUAAGUCACAACUUUAUGUAUCAACAAAUUGACAUUAUUGACCCAAUAUAUUGAUUAACGAACCAAGUUACCCUAGGGAUAACAGCGCAAUCCACUUUGAGAGCCCCUAUCGACAAGUGGGCUUACGACCUCGAUGUUGGAUCGGGGUACCCCAGUGGUGCAGCC